UAUACAUGCAAGUCGAGCGAACUGAUUAGAAGCUUGCUUCUAUGACGUUAGCGGCGGACGGGUGAGUAACACGUGGGCAACCUGCCUGUAAGACUGGGAUAACUUCGGGAAACCGAAGCUAAUACCGGAUAGGAUCUUCUCCUUCAUGGGAGAUGAUUGAAAGAUGGUUUCGGCUAUCACUUACAGAUGGGCCCGCGGUGCAUUAGCUAGUUGGUGAGGUAACGGCUCACCAAGGCAACGAUGCAUAGCCGACCUGAGAGGGUGAUCGGCCACACUGGGACUGAGACACGGCCCAGACUCCUACGGGAGGCAGCAGUAGGGAAUCUUCCGCAAUGGACGAAAGUCUGACGGAGCAACGCCGCGUGAGUGAUGAAGGCUUUCGGGUCGUAAAACUCUGUUGUUAGGGAAGAACAAGUACGAGAGUAACUGCUCGUACCUUGACGGUACCUAACCAGAAAGCCACGGCUAACUACGUGCCAGCAGCCGCGGUAAUACGUAGGUGGCAAGCGUUAUCCGGAAUUAUUGGGCGUAAAGCGCGCGCAGGCGGUUUCUUAAGUCUGAUGUGAAAGCCCACGGCUCAACCGUGGAGGGUCAUUGGAAACUGGGGAACUUGAGUGCAGAAGAGAAAAGCGGAAUUCCACGUGUAGCGGUGAAAUGCGUAGAGAUGUGGAGGAACACCAGUGGCGAAGGCGGCUUUUUGGUCUGUAACUGACGCUGANGCGCGAAAGCGUGGGGAGCAAACAGGAUUAGA
rnacentral:rRNA from 2 species